UACGUAGGGUGCGAGCGUUGUUCGGAAUUACUGGGCGUAAAGGGCGCGUAGGCGGCCGCUUGCGUCGGAUGUGAAAGCCCGGGGCUCAACCUCGGAACGGCAUCCGAUACGGGGCGGCUCGAGACCGAGAGAGGUGAGUGGAAUACCCAGUGUAGAGGUGAAAUUCGUAGAUAUUGGGUGGAACACCGGUGGCGAAAGCGGCGCGCUGGACCUCUUCUGACGCUGAGGCGCGAAAGCCAGGGGAGCAAACGGG
rnacentral:rRNA from 1 species